rnacentral:rRNA from 1 species
GACGAACGCUGGCGGCGUGCUUAACACAUGCAAGUCGAACGAUGAAGCCCAGCUUGGUGGGUCAGAGAGUGGCGAACGGGUAAGUAACACGUGAGUAACCUGCCCCGCACUCUGGAAUAAACGCUGGAAACGGUAUCUCAUACUGGAUACCACUUAUCACCGCAGGGGUUGUGGGUGGGAUGUUUUAGCGGUUCUGGAUGGACUCGCGGCCUGUCAGCUAGAUGGUGAGGUAAUGGCUCACCAUGGCGACGACGGGUAGCCGGCCUGAGAGGGUGACCGGCCACACUGGGACUGAGACACGGCCCAGACUCCUACGGGAGGCAGCAGUGGGGAAUAUUGCGCAAUGGGCGCAAGCCUGAUGCAGCAACGCCGCGUGAGGGAUGACGGCCUUCGGGUUGUAAACCUCUUUUAGUAGGGAAGAAGCGAAAGUGACGGUACCUGCAGAAGAAGCACCGGCUAACUACGUG